UACGUAGGUGGUUUGUUAAGUUGGAUGUGAAAGCCCAGGGCACAACCUUGGAACUGCAUUCAAAACUGGCGAACUAGAGUAUGGUAGAGGUGAGUGGAAUUUCCUGUGUAGCGGUGAAAUGCGUAGAGAUGGGAAGGAACAUCAGUGGCGAAGGCGACUCACUGGACCAAUACUGACACUGAGGUACGAAAGCGUGGGUAGCAAACAGGAUUAGAUACCCUGGUAGUCCACGCCGUAAACGAUGUCUACUAGCCGUUGGGGUCCUUGAGACUUUAGUGGCGCAGCUAACGCACUAAGUAGACCGCCUGGGGAGUACGGUCGCAAGAUUAAAACUCAAAUGAAUUGACGGGGGCCCGCACAAGCGGUGGAGCAUGUGGUUUAAUUCGAAGCAACGCGAAGAACCUUACCUACUCUUGACAUCCAGAGAAUUUAGCAGAGAUGCUUUAGUGCCUUCGGGAACUCUGAGACAGGUGCUGCAUGGCUGUCGUCAGCUCGUGUUGUGAAAUGUUGGGUUAAGUCCCGUAACGAGCGCAACCCUUGUCCUUAGUUACUAACAUUAAGUUGAGAACUCUAAGGAGACUGCCGGUGACAAACCGGAGGAAGGCGGGGACGACGUCAAGUCAUCAUGGCCCUUACGAGUAGGGCUACACACGUGCUACAAUGGCCAGUACAAAGGGUUGCCAAGCCGCGAGGUGGAGCUAAUCCCAGAAAGCUGGUCGUAGUCCGGAUCGGAGUCUGCAACUCGACUCCGUGAAGUCGGAAUCGCUAGUAAUCGUGAAUCAGAAUGUCACGGUGAAUACGUUCCCGGGCCUUGUACACACCGCCCGUCACACCAUGGGAGUGGGUUGCUCCGAAGUAGAUAGCUUAACCUUCGGGAGGGCGUUUACCACGGAGUAAUUCAUGACUGGGGGUGAAGUCGUAACAAGGUAAAUCACUA
rnacentral:rRNA from 1 species